ACCCGCUGAACUUAAGCAUAUCAAUAAGCGGAGGAAAAGAAACCAACAGGGAUUGUCUUAGUAACGGCGAGUGAAGCGACAAAAGCUCAAAUUUGAAAUCUGGCACCUUCGGUGUCCGAGUUGUAAUUUGAAGAAGGUAACUUUGGAGUUGGCUCUUGUCUAUGUUCCUUGGAACAGGACGUCACAGAGGGUGAGAAUCCCGUGCGAUGAGAUGUCCAACUCUAUGUAAAGUGCUUUCGAAGAGUCGAGUUGUUUGGGAAUGCAGCUCUAAGUGGGUGGUAAAUUCCAUCUAAAGCUAAAUAUUGGCGAGAGACCGAUAGCGAACAAGUACAGUGAUGGAAAGAUGAAAAGAACUUUGAAAAGAGAGUGAAAAAGUACGUGAAAUUGUUGAAAGGGAAGGGUUUGAGAUCAGACUUGGUAUUUUGUAUGUCUUGCUUUCGGGUGGGGCCUCUGCAGUUUACUGGGCCAGCAUCGGUUUGGACGGUAGGAUAAUGACAUUGGAAUGUGGCACUACUUCGGUGGUGUGUUAUAGACUU
rnacentral:rRNA from 1 species